AUUGAACGCUGGCGGCAUGCCUUACACAUGCAAGACGAACGGUAACAGGUCUUCGGAUGCUGACGAGUGGCGAACGAGUGAGUAAUACAUCGGAACGUGCCUAGUAGUGGGGGAUAACUACUCGAAAGAGUGGCUAAUACCGCAUGAGAUCUACGGAUGAAAGCAGGGGAUCGCAAGACCUUGUGCUACUAGAGCGGCCGAUGGCAGAUUAGGUAGUUGGUGGGAUAAAAGCUUACCAAGCCGACGAUCUGUAGCUGGUCUGAGAGGACGAUCAGCCACACUGGGACUGAGACACGGCCCAGACUCCUACGGGAGGCAGCAGUGGGGAAUUUUGGACAAUGGGCGCAAGCCUGAUCCAGCAAUGCCGCGUGCAGGAUGAAGGCCUUCGGGUUGUAAACUGCUUUUGUACGGAACGAAAAGCCCUGGGUUAAUACCCUGGGGUCAUGACGGUACCGUAAGAAUAAGCACCGGCUAACUACGUGCCAGCCGCCGCAGUAACAC
rnacentral:rRNA from 1 species